rnacentral:tRNA from 1 species
AAGGGAAUGAAGAAAUCCGAAAGAAGCUGCUAACUACCUUUCGAAGCAGUUAAAAUCUGUUUUUCCCUUA